rnacentral:rRNA from 1 species
CAAGUCGAACGGGAUCCAUGAUGUAGCAAUACAUCGGAAGAUCUAGUGGCGAACGGGUGAGGAUCACGUGAGAAACCUGCCCCAGACUCUGGGAUAACAAUUGGAAACGAUUGCUAAUACCGGAUGACGUCGGAGAACCGCAUGGUUCACUGACGAAAGAUAUUUCGGUUUGGGAGGGUCUCGCGGCCUAUCAGCUUGUUGGUGGGGUAAUGGCCUACCAAGGCAACGACGGGUAGCUGGUCUGAGAGGAUGAUCAGCCACACUGGGACUGAGACACGGCCCAGACUCCUACGGGAGGCAGCAGUGGGGAAUCUUGCGCAAUGGGCGAAAGCCUGACGCAGCAACGCCGCGUGCGGGAUGAAGGCCUUCGGGCUGUAAACCGCUUUCAGCAGGAACGAAAAUGACGGUACCUGCAGAAGAAGGAGCGGCCAACUACGUGCCAGCAGCCGCGGUGACACGUAGGCUCCAAGCGUUGUCCGGAUUUAUUGGGCGUAAAGAGCUCGUAGGCGGUUUAGUAAGUCGGGUGUGAAAACUCUGGGCUUAACCCGGAGACGCCAUCCGAUACUGCUAUGACUUGAGUUCAGGAGGGGAGCGGGGAAUUCCUAGUGUAGCGGUGAAAUGCGCAGAUAUUAGGAGGAACACCGGUGGCGAAGGCGCCGCUCUGGACUGAAACUGACGCUGAGGAGCGAAAGCAUGGGUAGCAAACAGGAUUAGAUACCCUGGUAGUCCAUGCCGUAAACGGUGGGCACUAGGUGUGGGUUCCAACUAACGGGAUCCGCGCCGUCGCUAACGCAUUAAGUGCCCCGCCUGGGGAGUACGGUCGCAAGACUAAAACUCAAGGAAUUGACGG